GAUCCGAUGGCAGUGGGUUAUCAGAACUUUUAACAUUAGUGUCACUAAAGUUGGUAUACCACCCCCCCACCACUGUUUUUUUAA
rnacentral:sRNA from 1 species